CCCCACUGCUAUCGGGAUAGGACUAAGACAUGCUAGUCGAGUGACUCAGGCAAAACGAGUCACGGCACACAGCUCAGUAACACGUGGCUAAUCUGCCCUUGGGACAAGAACAACCCCGGGAAACUGGGGCUAACUCUUGAUAGGCGAAGAACACUGGAAUGUGUCUUCACCCAAAAAACUUCACGUUAUCCUCGUGAAGUCGCCCAAGGAUGAGGCCGCGACCGAUCAGGUUGUUGGCGAGGUAAUGGCUCACCAAGCCUUUUACCGGUGCGGGCCGUGGGAGCGGGAGCCCGGAGAUGGGUACUGAGACAAGGACCCAGGCCCUACGGGGCGCAGCAGUCGCGAAAACUUUGCAAUAAGCGAAAGCUUGACAGGGCUAUCCCGAGUGCCAUCCGCUGAGGAAGGCUUUUACCCAGUCUAGAACGCUGGGGGAAUAAGGAGAGGGCAAGUCUGGUGUCAGCCGCCGCGGUAAUACCAGCUCUCCGAGUGGUGUGGAUGUUUAUUGGGCCUAAAGCAUCCGUAGCUGGCUAAGUUAGUCCCUUGUUAAAUCCACCGAAUUAAUCGUUGGAUUGCGGGGGAUACUGCUUGGCUAGGGGACGAGAGAGGCAGACGGUAUUUUCGGGGUAGGGGUGAAAUCCUAUAAUCCCGGGAAGACCACCAGUGGCGAAGGCUGUCUGCUAGAACGCGCCCGACGGUGAGGGAUGAAAGCUGGGGGAGCGAACCGGAUUAGAUACCCGGGUAGUCCCAGCUGUAAACGAUGCAGGCUAGGUGUUUGGACGGCCACGUGCCGUUCUAGUGCCGCAGGGAAGCUGUUAAGCCUGCCACCUGGGGAGUACGAUCGCAAGAUUGAAACUUAA
rnacentral:rRNA from 1 species